AGCUAGCAGAGAAAAUGGCGCUAUGGAAAAUGUCACAUGACCAACAUUUCGGGAAGGUCCACUGUGGCCGCCCAGGGUUCAGUGGACCAAGCCUUUUAUUAUGCUGUAAUUGGAGCAACAAUGACAAAUGUGUUUUAAAACACCAAUACACCACAAUAUAGUAGCCUGUAGGCUACCCGUACAACUGACCUAAUGAUGUUCUUUCGCAAAAUGUGUGGUAGGUUUUGAUUUAGUGAACAUCUAUCCAGGAUUUGAACAAAUUGCAACACUGCAAGACGUAGCAUUAAGAGAUUUGUGUGGUGGCAUUUAAUAUUGCCAUAACGUGUCGGCUAGUUUGGGAAUGGGACGUUUUCGUUUAGAUCAGCUGACUCCUGCAAUCUCACAUGACUGCUUGCUCCUCCUUUCGUUUCAAUGCUGAUGGCGAGAGUAGCCUAUCCUACUGUGUGUAAAAGUCUAUGGGAGUAAUACAACUUUGUUGACAAAGUAUUUUACGGAAAAUGCCAUCCAAUAAGUCUGUGUCAGAGGAACCUAUUGUCCAGUUUGUCAACUGCAGGAUACUGAGAGAACAUAAGCUUCAGAGAGAGGACCUCUGGGUCCGCGAGGGGACAAUACUCGACCCAGAGAAGCUCUUCUUUGAUGAAAAAGGUUAUGCAGAUGAGAUUGUUGAUUGCAAAGGAUGCAUUGUCGCCCCCGGAUUCAUAGAUGUCCAGAUAAACGGAGGAUAUGGCAUUGACUUCUCUCAAGCAACCGAAGAUGUCAGAGGUGGGGUGUCUUUAGUGGCAAAGAAAAUACUGGAGCAUGGUGUUACCUCCUUCUGCCCUACCUUGGUGACCUCACCUCCAAACAUCUACCACAAGGUCUUGCCUGAGGUCAGAGUUCACAAUGGAGGAAGAGAAGGUGCUGGAGUGUUGGGGUUUCAUCUGGAGGGGCCGUUCAUCAGUCCAGAAAAGAAAGGAGCUCAUCCAGAGAAAUAUCUACAUACUUUCCAGUUGGGUGGAAUGAGCGACCUACUGGACACCUACGGUGCUCUGGACAAUGUUGCCAUGGUGACGUUAGCCCCAGAGCUAGCCAAUAGCCAAGUGGUGAUUCAGGAAUUGGCGCAAAUGGGCAUCACUGUCUCAUUAGGACACUCAGUGGCUAACCUCACCCAGGCAGAGGAAGCAGUUCAGCACGGAGCGUCAUUCAUCACUCACCUCUUCAACGCAAUGCUGCCAUUCCACCACAGAGAUCCAGGCAUAGUGGGCCUGCUGACUAGUGACCAGAUCCCUCAUGACAGGAAAGUGUUCUACGGCAUGAUUGCUGACGGCAUCCACACCAACCCGGCCGCCCUGCGCAUCGCCCACAGAGCACACCCCUCAGGUCUGGUGUUGGUGACUGAUGCCAUCACGGCAAUGGGUCUUCCCCCUGGGCGCCACCCUCUGGGUCAGCAGGUCAUUGAGAUCCAGGGCCUUCAUGCUUAUGUGGCAGGCACAACAACUCUCAGUGGAAGCAUAGCCACAAUGGACAUGUGUGUGAGGCACUUCAAACAGGCUUCAGGAUGCAGUGUGGAGGAAGCUCUGGAGGCCGCCUCCCUCCACCCAGCUCAGCUGCUGGGCAUUAGCCAACACAAAGGCACCCUGUCAUAUGGAACAGAUGCAGGUAAGGAAUUAAAUGUUGAUGGCUACCUUUUCUCCAUGCACUUGGUGGUGUGGUCAUGUCCAUUAUCUUUAACAGCUGUUGGCUCAGGAUGGGUUUGUGCUCUCAAGUAUUUCUUGCAACUCUUAACACACACACACACUUGCUAAGUAAUUCCCUCUGUCCAUCCUCAGACCUCGUUCUGCUUGAUGAUGUCAUGAAUGUAAAAGCCACCUAUGUUUCUGGAGAAGAGGUCUGGAGGAAGUGACCUCACUCUGAGGACCUACACGAAGGAUGAACCAUGGACCUGCAAAAUAAUAAUAUAACAUACCUGUAGAGGGCAUGCCAGUGUAGAUAUGAGGAAGUCAUGAUCAGAUCCUCCACACUGGCUACCUGGAAAUCCAUCAGCAGCUGAUUUGACGGCUUAUUGCUUCUGCCUAUCAGAUCUAGUCAUUACCUGAGUGACAGGCCUUUUGUCAAGCCAUAAUCCAUAAACAUACUUUGGCAUGAUGAUUUCAGGUUGAUCUCCACACUAGAUAAAUAGAGCAGCUAUAUGGUUUAUGAAUGACAUUUGGGUUGUUACAACAUCAGCAAUCAUUUGUAAAUAUAUAAACUAUUUUUUCAAACAAGUGUAUGUAUUGUAAAAACUGGAGCAAGUAAGGGAAAGAGUUAAGUGGAGUAAAAUAUUGUUUAGUAAAUUAAUGCAA